UACGGAGGGUGCAAGCGUUAUCCGGAUUCACUGGGUUUAAAGGGUGCGUAGGCGGGCUUGUAAGUCAGUGGUGAAAGCCCGGGGCUUAACUCCGGAACUGCCGUUGAUACUGCAAGUCUUGAGUGCACUUGAGGUGGGCGGAAUACAUCAUGUAGUGGUGAAAUACUUAGAUAUGAUGUAGAACACCGAUUGCGAAGGCAGCUCACUAAAUUGCAACUGACGCUGAGGCACGAAAGCGUGGGGAUCAAACAGG
rnacentral:rRNA from 1 species